GCUGCAGUAGGACGGGCUCAGCAUCUGCUGCUCGUAGGGUGGUGGAGAGCGGAAGUAGUGAUCAUCACCCACUGACGAGGAGGCCUCCAGACCAUCUCAGUUCGGAAAGACAACGUGCAAUAUCAACAAGGUGUCGUGUUGCAAAAUAUUGGAGUAAUUCCAUCAUCCUCCCAAGCAUGCUGAUGACAUUUAUCAGGCUCAGUGCCUCAAUUUGCCUUCUAUGGGACAAAACCACUAACAACUGCCCAAAAAUCCAGCUUGUGAACCCUGACCCUCCAAAACACUUUGAUCACUUUGCAAAUUAAGGUCUAAGAGACACAUCCAAAACAAACUGGGAUUAUGGGCAGUGAUAGAAGAGCCCUGAAUCCCUCUGUGCUGUGAAGGUGUUGAGUGACAGAUCUUGAGUAUCUGAGGCUGCGAACUGCAUGUGAGCAC